AGAGUUUGAUCCUGGCUCAGGAUUAACGCUAGCGGCAGGCCUAAUACAUGCAAGUCGAGGAGUAACAGGGUAGCAAUACCGCUGACAACCGGCGCACGGGUGCGUAACACGUAUGCAACCUUCCUAUAACUGGGGAAUAGCUCUCCGAAAGGAGAAUUAACACCGCAUAACAUCACGAGACGGCAUCGUUUUGUGAUCAAACCUCCGGGGGUUAUAGAUGGGCAUGCGUAACAUUAGCUAGUUGGUGAGGUAACGGCUCACCAAGGCGACGAUGUUUAGGGGGUCUGAGAGGAUGAUCCCCCACACUGGUACUGAGACACGGACCAGACUCCUACGGGAGGCAGCAGUAAGGAAUAUUGGACAAUGGGGGCAACCCUGACCCAGCCAUGCCGCGUGAAGGAUGAAGGCGCUCUGCGUCGUAAACUUCUUUUAGCCGGGAAAAAUUGUUGGGUUUCUACCCGACUUGAUUGUACCGGAAGAAUAAGGAUCGGCUAACUUCGUGCCAGCAGCCGCGGUAAUACGAAGGAUCCAAGCGUUAUCCGGAUUUAUUGGGUUUAAAGGGUGCGUA
rnacentral:rRNA from 1 species